GGGAAGUUAAAAAACGUAACAAGGUUUCCGUAGGUGAACCUGCGGAAGGAUCAUUACAGAGUUCAUGCCCUCCGGGGUAGAUCUCCCACCCUUUGUGUAUUGUAACAAAAUGUUGCCUUGGCGGGCUGCGGCCCUGCCGUCCGGGUUUAUCCUGGCCUGCCCGCCGAAGGACCCCUAAACUCUGUUUUAUAGUGUCGUCUGAGUACUAUAUAAUAGUUAAAACUUUCAACAACGGAUCUCUUGGUUCUGGCAUCGAUGAAGAACGCAGCGAAAUGCGAUAAGUAAUGUGAAUUGCAGAAUUCAGUGAAUCAUCGAAUCUUUGAACGCACAUUGCGCCCCUUGGUAUUCCGAGGGGCAUGCCUGUUCGAGCGUCAUUAUGACCAAUCUAGCCUAGCUAGGUGUUGGGCGCCGCGGUCUCGCGGGCCUUAAAGCCAGUGGCGGUGCUCUUAGGCUCUACGCGUAGUAACUUCUCUCGCUAUAGGGUUCUGGGAGUUGCUAGCCAGCAACCUCAACUUUCUAAGGUGACCUCGGAUCAGUAGACCUU
rnacentral:rRNA from 1 species